GAUGAACGCUGGCGGCGUGCCUAAUACAUGCAAGUCGAGCGAACAGACGAGGAGCUUGCUCCUCUGACGUUAGCGGCGGACGGGUGAGUAACACGUGGAUACCCUACCUAUAAGACUGGGAUAACUUCGGGAAACCGGAGCUAAUACCGGAUAACAUGUUGAACCGCAUGGUUCAACAGUGAAAGACGGUCUUUCUGUCACUUAUAGAUGGAUCCCCGCCGCAUUAGCUGGUUGGUAAGGUAACGGCUUACCAAGGCAACCAUGGGUAGCCGACCUGAGAGGGGGAUAGGCCACACUGGAACGGGGACGCGGUCCAGAGUCCUGCGGGAGGCAGCAGUAGGGAAUCGGACGCAAUGGGCGAGAGCAUGACGGAGCGGCGCCGCGUGAGAGGUGAAGGUCUUGGGAUCGUAAAGCUGUGUUAUUGGGGAAGAACAAAUGUGUCAGUAACUAUGCACGUAUUGACGGUACCUAGUCAGAAAGCCACGGCUAACUACGUG
rnacentral:rRNA from 1 species